UUCCUCUCCAAACAUAAGCAACAGCCAGCAUCUCUGCCAAGUCUCGGCACUGGGCCUGCCGGUCCGGAGCUCGGUUCCCGGGGACAGCGCCUGGUUCCCUGGCUCCUCGAGCUCCACCAGCCAGCCUCACCCAGAUGGGGAGUCAUGUCCACACAGGAGCCACUUCCAAGCGGUAGAACCAGGCUCCGAGGCCACCUCACUUUCUGCAGGAAAUCCAAGGGAACCGAGCGCCUGCUAGUAGCACAAGGAUAAAAACUGGUUUCCACAAACCAAGAGUCGGAGGGUUUUUGAAGUUAAGGAGGCAAAACAUGAGUGCAAAACAAGCAAGUACAGGUCCCACCGCCUGGGAACCGUGACAGGGUGCCCGGUGGGUUUCAGGUAUGUGACCACUCCGGUGAGUCAGGGGACAGCCAAGCGGGUUCGAAAGUGUUCCGGGGCAAUCGCUUCUCCGGAGCCAAGACGCUGAAUCAGAGGGGAGAAGGAAUGAAAACAGAAAAAGCUCUGGGAGGACGUACUCAAACUGUCAACUGUUGGCAGGGUGACAAGGAGAAUAUAAAACUGCAUCGGCAUGUUGUUUCCAAUUUAAUUAAACACACGCACAGAAAAGGACAAAAGAAUUGAUGGGGUGAUGAUCUCUGGAAGAAACACUCUUCAGGUCACAUGAAACUCAACUUCAAAAGCCACUACAUUUCCCACAGGGACUCUUGCUCCUGGCGACACAUCUGGACCAGCCACCUGAGGAGGCGAAAGGGCAACUGGAUCUCCCUGCAAGUGUUUCUGGCAGCAACUCCUGUGUGGCAUUUCAGGCCAUGAGUCACAAUUCCACUGGAUGCCAUUUGGGCUUUAUAUUUAACUAUAGGCCCGGUGCACGGAUUCAUGCACCGAUGGGGUCCCUCGGCCUGACCUGCACCCUCUCGCAAUCCAGGACCCCUCGGGGGAUGUUG